rnacentral:lncRNA from 1 species
AGAAGAUAAAGUGUGAGAGUUUUCUCUUGUAAGCUUCAUUUUAUCAUCGUGAAUUAUUACAGCGGCGUACGAGAACAUAGUCCAAUAUUGAGGUGACAUCUAUAUAUCGUGCAAGUUCAUUUGUGUUUAUCUUUUUUCUGAUAUUUCAUUACUUUCGAUUAUAUAGAAUUAAAAUUUAUAAUUCUCAACAGUUUGUAUCUUUUUAGAGAUGCGGUGCGUGCCUCAAUAUAAUUCCGAGCCUCCUCUCUUAAACUCUUACUUCAUGAGAACCUUAAAAUUUUAAGAAUCACUUCCUGAAUUAACAUCACGUAUCAUACCACUACCUGAAAUAUUAUUUCCUAAAUAGUAAUAAAAUGAGGAGAAAUGGUGAAGAUUACGUAAGUUAUAGUUAGGGAGGUACUAUCUUUAUCACAACUAUGCAAAUAAAUGAAAUUAGCUUAUUUUUUGGUACACCGUAAUGCUCAAGAUGUAGAAUUACUCGAACAUGCUAAUGAAGAUCCUUUGAACGCAACACCUUGUAAGUUUACAUUGAUCGCACUAAUGUAGUUAAGAACCCAUCCUUGGACACAUGUGACACACUUUUAGAGGCGAGGGAUUAUGUUCGGAGAGCUAGAUAUGUCAACCUUUUUUAUCUAAUAAAAAAAAUACAUUUAGAAGCCGGGGAUUGACAUCAAAUUAUAUGAUUUUAAUUCUCAAUACUGUAAGUUACACAAUUUUGUCAAAGAGAAUAGGACCGAUCUGACUGAUUCCCACGAAAAAUUAAGAACCAAACAAGUUUUUGAUUAAAAAAAAUGUUGAUAUUGAUAAUCACUGAAACAAAUCUUGAACUGAUAUAUAUUAUAAUAAUAAUUAUUAUUAAGAGUCCAACUUGACUUAGAGCAUGUUUGGUAGAGAUUUUAAUCCAAUUAACAUCAAUUUUUUUUACCUUUAUUUCAUUAUUUCAGUCGUCAUUUUUAAUUCUUCUCUCACAUGUAGGACUUACUUUAUUUCUAACGAUCAAAAAAUUAAUUAACAAACUCCCUACUAAACAAGCAAUUAGAUUCAAAUAUUUUACCGUUCAUCCCCUAUCCGAAUAACACAUUAUUCAACUUAAUUGCCAUUAUUUUGAGAGAGAAAAAAAGAAAGAGAGAGAGAGUUUUGAAUAGUAAUUUUUUGAAAAAUGUAUGGUUAAUAGUAGAAAAAGUUUGAAUUCACGUGCAAAAUAUUAUAUUCUGUAAAUGUAU